CGCCAGACUCCUACGGGAGGCAGCAGUAGGGAAUAUUGCUCAAUGGGGGAAACCCUGAAGCAGCAACGCCGCGUGGAGGAUGAAGGUUUUCGGAUUGUAAACUCCUUUUGUUAGAGAAGAUAAUGACGGUAUCUAACGAAUAAGCACCGGCUAACUCCGUGCCAGCAGCCGCGGUAAUACGGAGGGUGCAAGCGUUACUCGGAAUCACUGGGCGUAAAGAGUUCGUAGGCGGCACGUAAAGUCUGGUGUUAAAGGCAGAGGCUCAACUUCUGUACGGCACUGGAUACUUGCGAGCUAGAAUGCGGUAGAGGUAAAGGGAAUUCCUGGUGUAGCGGUGAAAUGCUUAGAUAUCAGGAGGAACAUCGGUGGCGUAAGCGCUUUACUGGGCCGUAAUUGACGCUGAGGAACGAAAGCCAGGGUAGCAAAUGGGAUUAGAUACCCCUGUACUC
rnacentral:rRNA from 1 species